GGGAACACCAGGACUGUCACCCAGGGGACCCUAGGCUGCAGCCAGGACACCAGCUGGGCCUGAGAGACACCAAGAAAAAGAGCUUUUUCCAGACACACUGAAAAAAUGGACAGAUUAAAAUGUCUGAUGAAGUCUCUGAAAUGACAACCAGAAGUCUUUGACUGUCUUAUUGCCAAGGACAACCAAAUUUCUUUGUUUGAAUCAAUUCUCACAAUUCAGUGAACAAUUGCAACAGGAGGAGGAAGUCUGGAUGUUGCUUGAGCCCUGCAUCCCAGAAGUCUGCACAUUCUCCAGUGUCAUUUCCCUUUCCACGAGUCACUACAAGUGUUGUUGAAUUCAUGAGAUCUGAAAAUAAAAUUUGCAAAGGGA